UACGGAGGGAGCUAGCGUUGUUCGGAAUUAUUGGGCGUAAAGGGCGCGUAGGCGGCUUUGCAAGUGACGGGUGAAAUCCCUCGGCUUAACCGAGGAACUGCCUGUCAGACUGCAUGGCUUGAGACCAGGAGAGGUGAGUGGAAUUCCCAGUGUAGCGGUGAAAUGCGUAGAUAUUGGGAGGAACACCAGUGGCGAAGGCGGCUCACUGGACUGGUACUGACGCUGAUGCGCGAAAGCGUGGGGAGCAAACAGG
rnacentral:rRNA from 1 species